GCACUUGGUGUCUCAAACUGAGGGAGCCGGGUGCUUGCUUCUGCAGCGCAUGUUCAAGGAAGAUACUGUACGGCAACAGCGGUGUGCGUCAGGGGACUCUGAAUAUGGAGAACUGUGUGCUGCAGUGUGAGACCACGGGGGUGAUUGUACGAACAUCAGCCCGUCUCACCAUGAACAUGUGUGACCUGUAUGGCUCUAAGGGGGCUGGUGUGGAGAUUUACCCCGGCAGUGUUUGCAGUCUGGUUGGUAACGGUAUCCAUCACUGUAAGGACGGUGUUCUCAUCAAGGUGAAAAAUAACGAGAUGACUCUUAUAAAAAUUGCGCUUAUUAGAAAUGAAUACGGUCUUAAUUUUGAAAAACUGCAUAAUUUAGAUAGUGAAUCAACAUGCUCAACCCCAGUAUGUACUGUACAGACAGGUGCCGGAAUGCUCACGUUUCCUCCUUACCGUGCAUACUGACAACAACUAGGGAUGGGCGAUAUGCUAAAAAGAUCAUAUCAUGAUCACAAUUUUCAGGCAGAAUCACAAUCCACAAUCAUAUCACCACAAACUAUGUUUUAAGACUAUUUAAGUUACUGAACAGUACAACUAAACAAAUUUUUGUAUCACUAAAUUCCGUUCUUAAAUGUAAUAUUUAUCAGUUAAUUUUUCAAGUAUAUAGACCUAUCACUACUUUUUGAAAUCUACACGGUUAGAUCCACUGUACAGCACUUAUUCCAGUUUUUUGCUUCUUCCGAACAGCGGUGAGCAAAUGCAAGUAAUUGAGUUCUCAUUAAAAUCAAAAUUUAAGACUGUUAACUGCAUGCCAAAUUAAUCAAAGCACACAAUGCCAAAUU